GAUGAACGCUGGCGGCGUACCUAAUACAUGCAAGUCGAGCGAACGGACGAGAAGCUUGCUUCUCUGAUGUUAGCGGCGGACGGGUGAGUAACACGUGGAUAACCUACCUAUAAGACUAGGAUAACUUCGGGAAACCGGAGCUAAUACCGGAUAAUAUUUUGAACCGCAUGGUUCAAAAGUGAAAGACGGUCUUGCUGUCACUUAUAGAUGGAUCCGCGCUGCAUUAGCUAGUUGGUAAGGUAACGGCUUACCAAGGCAACGAUGCAUAGCCGACCUGAGAGGGUGAUCGGCCACACUGGAACUGAGACACGGUCCAGACUCCUACGGGAGGCAGCAGUAGGGAAUCUUCCGCAAUGGGCGAAAGCCUGACGGAGCAACGCCGCGUGAGUGAUGAAGGUCUUCGGAUCGUAAAACUCUGUUAUUAGGGAAGAACAUAUGUGUAAGUAACUGUGCACAUCUUGACGGUACCUAAUCAGAAAGCCACGGCUAACUACGUG
rnacentral:rRNA from 1 species